UGACGAGGUCACGGGGGGCUGGCCCGCAGCCAGGCUGGGCUGCCAUGCUGCUCUGGCAGUGCCUGCCCGGGAGCCCAUCACAUCCUCGGGCACUCACAGGAUUUCUGCAGCUCUGGGCGGCUCCUCUGGCUGCUCUGCUCUGCUCUAGGAGCCCGUCCUCGGAGCUGCUGCAGCCUCCCGACAUAAACCCCGCUUUGUUGGGCCGAGAUGACCCGGCUGAGCCGCAUGAUCCGUCAGGUGACAGCUGGGCACCAGAGCGAGGAGAAUGAGCGGCGGGGCGAGGGCGCCGGCUGCUUUCCUGCCUCUGCACAGGCUCUGCUGCUCCUCGGGGGAAAAUGAGCGCCUGGCUCUGUCCUGUGCUGUGCAGCUUCACCGCGGUGUGUUUAGCAGGUAUUGCUUUUGGCCAGACAACCAGCACUGAGGUCCCAGUUACAUCAACCCCAGCACCUGCCAGUGCAACCAGCACUGAGGUUCCCAUUGCAUCCACCCCAGCACNCCAGUGCAACCAGCACUGAGGUUCCCAUUGCAUCCACCCCAGCACCUCCCAGUGCAACCACUGCUACGGCCUCUUCUCCCCCAACUGCUCCUGCAACACUCUCAGCUGGACUGACACCAACCACUGCAAACCCUGCUGCAUCCACAGCAGCUCCAUCUGCUGAUCCAAGCACAAAAACCCCUGCCCAGACUCUGCCCCCCACCACGGGGACCGUCCCCACCUCUGGCAGCAGGGCCACCUCUCAGGCAUCUUCAGCAGUGACGGCCACAUCCAGCAGUGCCCCAGUGUCCCCUCCAGGAGUGACCACAUCCCCUGGGCUCCCCAGCACCCCCCAGCCCUCCAACUGCAGCAGAGUGAAUGUGACAGCCUGUGCCCCCUGCCCCCCAGGGACUGUCCCCACCCAAGGCACCUUGAGCUGUUCGUGCUGCGCGGGGGGCUCGUGCAUUGGCCCCAGUGCCUGCAGCCCCUGCCCACCUGGCCACUACCAGCCCCAAAGUGGGCAACCAUCCUGCCUGCCCUGCUCACAGGGGUAUUACACCAGGCUAUUUUAGCUCCAAGCAAAAUGCAGCUUUUUGUCUGCCUUGCCAGCCAGGAUCAUUUUGCAACACCAGCAGCUGCUCGGCCUGUCAGUCCUGCCCCGGCGGGCAGGAGGCUCCUCGGGAGGCGUCGGAGGGCUGCGAGUCCUGCCCGCCAGGUACAUUCAAAGGCCCCAGUGACAACAGAUGCAAGGCCUGCAGGACAGGAGAGUACCAGCUACAGCGGGGCAAGGAGAGCUGUGAGCUGUGCCCAGAAAACCACUACUGCCCUAGCCCAGAUGUGAAGCCAGUGAAGUGCCCUCCUGAUGCCUUCUGCCCCAGGGGCAGCGUGGAGCCCUCCUACUGCAUGGAGCUCUUCCUGUACAAGGCAGGGGAGUCCUGCCAGCUGACCCCUGCCACCGUCAUUGUCCUGGCCACCUUCUCAGCAGGUGGAAUCUUUGUUGUCUUUCUAAUAAUUCUGAGAAGGCGACAAGAACAUGGCACGAAAUCCUUGAAGUCGCUGUUGCUGCCCCGGGGCUCGGGACACGCCACCUACGGGGGCACGGAGCACACAGAGCCAGUCUAUGCUGGCUGGUAGCACAGGCCAUGGCCAGCAGCCUCUCUUCCCCUGGGGCAACACAGAUGUGGCUCUGGGCAAGGUCUUUAACCAUGAGCAACUUAUUUCUGUAUAGCUAAAAUCAGGUGGGGAAUAAAAUCCAGUUUUUGAGUUGUGGCUACUUGUGC
rnacentral:lncRNA from 1 species